rnacentral:misc_RNA from 1 species
AAGAACACCAAGGGUAAUUUGGGAACACGAAAUUUUCAAUGACAUUUUUGUGAUUUGCGAGGCCAAAAGGGGCAGCAAAAUAACUGGUGGCAUUUUUGUAAAUAAGCAGCAAUGGCAAACUUGUAAUUUUACUUAAAAUGAAGGGUAAACUAGUUCAGUGGCAAAACUGUAAUUCUGCCCAAAACAGGUGAGCAGACAGCACCCUUCCCCUCUCUCAAUCUGGUUCAUUGUGAACCAGAAGCAGCCAUGGAGGCCACCAGCGCCGCCGCACUAGAGCUAGCCCUUGCAACAUCCAGCCCACGCUGCCACAAGGCCGGCGACGCACAGGGAUAUCUCUGACAGCCUUGCAAACACGUCCAACCACCAUGUGCGAUCCAGAGCAACAGAUCACAGCCCGAUCUCCUCCAUUUUUCUGCUGUCGGAAGCCACCAUACCAGUAAUGAGGAGUGCCGGUCACCAGAUGGAGAGCCAUCAGCGCAUCUCCGGCGAGACAGCAGCUCGUCAUUUGUGAUGGCGUUGCAAGAAGGUGAGCUGGUGCGUCCAAGAUCCUUGCACGAUCUUAUCGUGUAACACCAUCCAUCUUCAAAUGUCGUUCAGUCAAGCAAAACGACACUGGUCUAGAGAUCCUCAACUAUUUGAGGUUAACAUCACUAUCCGCAAGCACGCGAAGAACAAGUAGUGGCGGCCAUCAAUGUUCCUCAAGCUCCGAUAUACCCAUAUGAUGGUUUACAUAUUUCGGUGACCCAAUACAUCAUUUCUUUUCAAAGAAAAAAAAUUUCAAGAAAAGAAAAGAACAGAAAAGUGGGAAAAAAACAGCGUAAGUUUCAGUUCUUUGAAAUUUAGUUUUUCAGAUCUAAAAUCUUCAGAAACAAAACUCAAAAUUAAUGUCUCAAAGCUUUCCAAAACCAUUCUGGAAUCAACAUGGACCAAAAAAAAAAUUCCAGAGGAACAAAAUAUACCAACACAUGAAUUAAUUCUCAAAUUAACACCAACAACAACAAACCAUUCUACAAUUAAUUAAAAUGGCUCCGAUACUACUGUUAGAAAGCAUUAAUUUUUAAUUAAACAAGAUUAACUUUAAUUAAGUAUGAAAUGGUGAUAAUUAAAAUUUUAUUUUUUAGCAAAUUACCUCAAACAACUUUGAGGAAUUUUCUGACCAUUGGAUUGAGUUGUAGCAAAUCACCAACCGUCUAGAUGUCCGGCCUCUGAUGAUAUACACACAGACCGAUUGUGAGAAAAUUCUCCAAGACACUCUUAGAGAAUAUUGGGAGUUCUGAGUGCUAGCUCUUUUC